UUUAAGUGCAGCUAUAAAUUUCCGUGUCCAACUUUGAUCAUCCGUCUUAUUUGAAAAUUUUUCUGAUUAGUAUUUUUGUUGUUAUGAGAUGAUAAAACAUGAAUAUUACUUUACUCCUGAUUUAUGUUUUUAAAUUUUUUUAAAAGUUUUUCAAUAAAACGAACAGUUAAAGUUGAGCGCGGAAAAGCAUGACUGCACUUAAA
rfam:Oryza meridionalis cultivar OR44 (W2112) chromosome 8, whole genome shotgun sequence.